rnacentral:lncRNA from 1 species
GUGUAGAAAGUCCUCCAUGUUUUGGGAAGCCAAAAAGGAGUGUUUUUUUUUAGCCAAAAUGAAGUUGUUGAGCCGUUCGCAUGUGCUUAUGAAGCUUAGCGACGACCAUGCGGCGCCACAAGGUUCAUCACCGAACUCAGCAGAUCAACCAUUUCUUCUUCUAGCUCUUUCCGCUGCUCUGAUCUUUCCUUUGAAAAUAAAAUUUGGAAUAUGUUGCAAACUAGUACAUUUAUAAAACAUAAUAGGAUAACUAGUACAGGUCCUAUUCAAUACUCAAGAAAUAGUCGGGUCUCCACUGCUAUACAAAUACGCGUUCUUUCUGAUAGAAAAAGAGUGGGGCCUUGAGGUUGUUGUGGAAAUUACGUCUGAGGGCUUCCUUCUUUUUACAGGGAAAUGACGAAGCCUCUAGACGAGAUGGCGUGUUUUGUUUGUUGGACACAUGGGCCAACUGUGAUUAACAGGUUUUAGAUAGUUUUAAAUGGGCCUUAAAAUUCUUCCCCAAUUUGUCUCCAAAAUUAAAUAGUACCCGAAGUCAAUUAUCAAACAAGUCGUCUUCAUCAGUGGCGGCGUUGGAGCAGUCAGAAACCCCUGCAUUAAUGAGAAGUUUAUGUCAACGAAAUUAGUUGCUAGGUUGGUGUGAGAAAUCAUAUAAUACUCAGAUUCUCUUUAGAUUUUUUUCGAAAGUAGGCAAAUUAUUUGGAGGGAAAUUUAUUUUGCCUUUUUUGAUGGAAAUUUUAUUAUAAGAUAAAAAGAAGAAGAUGAUUGUCAGUUUCGGUAGGUUUUCUAAGUUCCUGAGGACGUACAGAUCAGAGAACAAAGAAUGGAAGGUGGAAUUCAGUACUGAAACAAAUUUCCAAAUUUUCCAUUAAUGUUUCCUACUGUACUGGCCUAGAAACUGAUUCUAAUUGAAUUUCCUUUGCAGUUGAUGAUAUUGUUGUUGUACAGGCUGGAAGAUGGAUCUUGUUUAGCACAGGUGAAUGGGAGUUCAAGAUGGAUUCUUAUCGGCAGGGGAGGGCGUUGAGUUUGAUGGGGUUAAAAACUUUCAGGGAUUUGGAGCUUAAAGUGAGGCAACUGUACAGAAUGGAGAGCAGCUCAAUAUCAGUAGAGCUUAGCUACAUGUUUGAGGACAAUUUAGCCCUGUUAGCUGGUGCUCAGCCGGGCCCAACGAUGAUUCGGUGUGAUAGGCAGUUUCGAAGCUUUAAAUCUUUAAGCAUUGAUGAUAAAUAUGUGAACCUGUUCGUGUGUUUUAGAGAAGACGAUGGAGUCUUAGUCGGGCCUACCUAUGAAGCUCGGAGGAUCGGGAGUUGUUUUGCCAUGGGUAGGCAAGCUGGAGAAUCAUCUGCAGGUAUUGUAGAGGCUGGAGGUAGUUCAAGAGCGACAGAGGGAGUAGGAUUUUUUGCUGGACUCUUAUCUUCAGUUCAAGACAAUAACAGUAUGUAUCCUCCAGUUCAAGGCAAUAACUCCCAGUUAGCAAUCGCCCAGAGUACAGAUGUUACUGACAGCUCCGGUGGGUGGGACAUAAGCGAUGAAAUACUGUUAGAAGCCGUAGAAGCUGUGGAGAAGGCGUCUAAAACAGAUUUGGUUGUUUACACAGGUCUAACCACAUCUGUAGCAGUGGAAGAUGGAAUGGAGAGCAGUGGGGAUGAAGAGUGUUCAGAAAACUCCGAUGAUUCUUAUUCUUACAGUGGAGGGAGUCAAUCAGAAGAUGAUGAUUACGAUUACGAGUACAACACGGUAGGUAGGGUUGAAGCUGGUAGAGAAAUUGUGGC